rfam:Lachnospiraceae bacterium JC7 contig00016, whole genome shotgun sequence.
GCUACUGUAGCACAGUCGGUAGUGCAUCUGAUUCGUAAUCAGAAGGUCACCGGUUCAAGUCCGGUCAGUAGCU